CCUACGGGAGGCAGCAGUGGGGAAUAUUGGACAAUGGGCGAAAGCCUGAUCCAGCAAUGCCGCGUGAGUGAUGAAGGCCUUAGGGUUGUAAAGCUCUUUUACCAGGGAUGAUAAUGACAGUACCUGGAGAAUAAGCUCCGGCUAACUCCGUGCCAGCAGCCGCGGUAAUACGGAGGGAGCUAGCGUUGUUCGGAAUUACUGGGCGUAAAGCGUACGUAGGCGGUUAUUCAAGUCAGAGGUGAAAGCCUGGAGCUCAACUCCAGAACUGCCUUUGAAACUAGGUAGCUAGAAUCACGGAGAGGUUAGUGGAAUUCCGAGUGUAGAGGUGAAAUUCGUAGAUAUUCGGAAGAACACCAGUGGCGAAGGCGACUAACUGGACGUGUAUUGACGCUGAGGUACGAAAGCGUGGGGAGCAAACAGGAUUAGAUACCCUGGUAGUCCACGCCGUAAACGAUGAUAACUAGCUGUUCGGUCUCUACGAGACUGAGUGGCGCAGCUAACGCAUUAAGUUAUCCGCCUGGGGAGUACGGUCGCAAGAUUAAAACUCAAAGGAAUUGACGG
rnacentral:rRNA from 1 species